rnacentral:rRNA from 1 species
UACGUAGGGGGCAAGCGUUGUCCGGAAUCAUUGGGCGUAAAGCGCGUGUAGGCGGCCCGAUAAGUCCGCUGUGAAAGUCCAGGGCUCAACCCUGGGAUGCCGGUGGAUACUGUCGGGCUCGAGUCCGGAAGAGGAGUGUGGAAUUCCUGGUGUAGCGGUGAAAUGCGCAGAUAUCAGGAGGAACACCAAUGGCGAAGGCAGCACUCUGGGACGUGACUGACGCUGAGACGCGAAAGCGUGGGAAGCAAACAGG